CUAGAAAACCAAGAUUCGAACUUGGACCUAGAAGCCCAAAACUUCUAAUACUACCCUAUAAUAUUUUCUA
rnacentral:tRNA from 1 species